rnacentral:rRNA from 1 species
AAGAGAUCGGGAUAACACCUGGAAACAGAUGCUAAUAACCGGAUAACAACAGAUGAUGCCUAUCAACUGUUUAAAAGAUGGUUCUGCUAUCACUCUUGGAUGGACCUGCGGUGCAUUAGCUAGUUGGUAGGGUAACGGCCUACCAAGGCGAUGAUGCAUAGCCGAGUUGAGAGACUGAUCGGCCACAUUGGGACUGAGACACGGCCCAAACUCCUACGGGAGGCAGCAGCC